AAUCAACGCUGGCGGCGUGCCUAACACAUGCAAGUCGCACGAGAAAGGGACUUCGGUCCUGAGUACAGUGGCGCACGGGUGAGUAACACGUGAAUCAUCUACCUUCGAGUGGGGAAUAACUGAGAGAAAUCUUAGCUAAUACCGCAUAAUACCUACGGGUCAAAGCAGCAAUGCGCUUGAAGAGGAGUUCGCGGCAGAUUAGUUAGUUGGCGGGGUAAUGGCCCACCAAGACGAUGAUCUGUAUCCGGCCUGAGAGGGCGCACGGACACACUGGAACUGAAACACGGUCCAGACUCCUACGGGAGGCAGCAGUGGGGAAUUUUGCGCAAUGGGGGAAACCCUGACGCAGCAACGCCGCGUGGAGGAUGAAAUCCCUUGGGAUGUAAACUCCUUUCGAUAGGGAAGAUAGUGACGGUACCUAUAGAAGAAGCCCCGGCUAACUUCGUGCCAGCAGCCGCGGUAAUACGAGGGGGGCAAGCGUUGUUCGGAAUUAUUGGGCGUAAAGGGUGCGUAGGCGGUUUGACAAGUCUUAUGUGAAAUCUUCGGGCUCAACCCGAAGUCUGCAUAGGAAACUGUCGGGCUUGAGUAUGGGAGAGGUGAGUGGAAUUUCCGGUGUAGCGGUGAAAUGCGUAGAUAUCGGAAGGAACACCUGUGGCGAAAGCGGCUCACUGGACCAUAACUGACGCUGAUGCACGAAAGCUAGGGGAGCAAACAGGAUUAGAUACCCUGGUAGUCCUAGCCCUAAACGAUGAUUGUUUGAUGUGGGGGGUACCCAAUCCUCCCGUGUCGAAGCUAACGCGAUAAACAAUCCGCCUGGGGAGUACGGUCGCAAGGCUG
rnacentral:rRNA from 1 species